rfam:Palleronia marisminoris strain CECT 7066 genome assembly, contig: 0002
CUUUGCCGGGAUCGCCCCCCGCCAGCGAGUUUCGCCCGCGGGGGCGAAUUCCG